GAAUAUAUAUAUAUCUGGUGCGAUUCCUCAUGUCUUGAUUGUACAACCCGUUUCUUUCCUUCUCGUCGAUUCUCCUACAUGCUGUUCCUUAUGUUAUUCGAGAUGGGUUGUUAGAUAUAAUACGCAUUGAUCUUGUGGUUUCCUACCGAUUGAUCCAGCUGCUCCUGUUCUCGCGCCGCCAAAAGCGCGCAACCCCCAAUUCCCAUUUCAGUGCCAUUCUACCUGCUUGCUUCCAUUGCAUUCUCUCCUCAGAAGGAAUCAUGGUGGUGCAGGAACGUCGGCGCCAUGAAGGGUCAAUCAAAUCCUUGUAAAACAAAGCAGGAAAAUGAGUGUUCACCCACCCACCACCUUGCAAUACCAGCUGCCAUCCACAUAUAAAGUAAAGGAAGAUUAUAACCCCUUUCACUUUUUAUUUCCUAAACUGUAGCAUUGACUGAAGGGUUGCUAGAUGAUUGUCAUGCAACCAUAGCUGCUCCAAUGUAUAGAUGUUGGACAUUGUCGAGACUGUCCUCGCGUGAUGAUAGAUUUGUAGAGCUAUCCAGGAUCUUUGGAUCGGGGGGAAGGCAUAAAAGGCAUACGUGCGUCGGGAUAUAUUGGGGUGAAUGCAUUUAUUCAUCCUUUUCCGCAGUAGGAACAUCGUGAAGA
rnacentral:sRNA from 2 species